UACUUUGAAGGACGAACACAUGCAAUAACUAUUGUACUACAUGCUUUAUUAAUUUAACAUUCUUUAGAAGUGGAGUGUAUCUAACGCGUGUACUUUAUCGUAGCUUUUUCUGUCAACACGUGUAUUGCUAUGUUCAUUUGUGAGCAAGCCACGUGUACUGCUGAAACAACUGUAAUCCAACAUCUAUACUCUCUUUCUCUUCAUUCACUCAUAAGCAGACUUUUUGAAACUAAAUUCAAUUCUUUCUCCCUCAAAAGAUAAUUUGUUUUAUUUUCUUCUGUUUGUUCUGGACUUUAAUUCUUUUUUUUUGUCUCGCCAAUUUCUUUUUCAGAAGUUCUAAAUUUUGAAAUGGGUGUUAUCGUUUUAUAUUUGAUCCUCCAUCAUUGCUGGCCUUUUGGCUCUUUUCAAAACUGAUUUGGUACUCAUUUACUACUUUGUAUCAAUUGCAUAUAGUCGCGUCAGAGGUAUUAACGAGAAUAUAGACAUGCUACAUGAAUAAAAUUCUCUAAGAAAAAUGAAGCUGAAGCUGAUAAAACUCGAUCCGAUAGUAAUUUUAUGAAAUUCUAUCUUCUUGAGAAAUAACAUGUAAUAGGUUCUUUGGGUAUUUGCCUUAGAAUUAAGGAUAUUCCAUUAGUGGUAAGCUUCAUUUCUAAGUAUUUCUGUACGUGUAUUUCUUUAUUGAACAUGUAAGCAUUUGUUUGGAAUUAUAGUUGAAAACAUUUGAUAACUUAAUUAAGUCCCAUUGUGUUAUUUCAAAAGUAAAUUUUAAUCAUUGCAAAAAAUUGUAAACAAGGUUUACAGUAAUUGAAUUGGGAAUUGUCGUAAUGCAAAUAAAUAAUAAGAUUGUAUUUGGGACUUUUGUUGCUAGACUAUUUACAUGACAAAAUAUAUAGAACAUAAACUUGGGACUAAUAAGAAGAGAAGGAAAAAUAGCACUUCACCAAGUUAGUCUAAUAAUGUUGAAAUUCUCUCCAUUUGUUAUUUGUGUUUAUAGAAGGUGUUUUGAUUUACAUUUUAUUGUUAAAUAUUUAUUUAUUUAUUUUGUCAAUUGCUUCAACAUAUCUCAAGCAAUAUAUUAAUGUUCGAUCAAUUGAUGAUUGCAUAGAUCGUGAAGUGAAUUUGAAUGGUAAUAUCAGGUCGUUUUUUUAAAUAAGUUAUCAUUCUCUCAUGUGUUGUUAUUUUUCAUUCAUCUAUCUUUUAAAUGUCAAAUAAGUACUUUCAUUGUCAACAAACUUUAAUUGGAUCCACAAAAAUAAUGGAAUAAUGUACAAAGAAACUACUGAAAAAGUUCAUAUUUAAUUGAUUUAUCUGAUGUCUUUUCAAUGAUUUUUCUUUAGAAUAUUAUUUGAUUUAACUUUUAUCUUUCUCCACUUGCGAUACAAAUCUGAUGUACAUUUGCUUCAAUAAAUACUAUAAUAAAGAUGAAAAGGGUGAAUAAACUUAUAACUCAACCAUACUUUCAUAUUGAGAAUACAACUGAAAUGACUCUUUUUUGAUACUCCACAAAUGAAUUUUUCUGCUAUAUUUUGAAACACUUCAUAAAUGGACAAGCAAAUCUGAUAUCAGUUGUAAAUUUUUACUUGAGCCUGGUGACUAUUAACAAUGGAAAUAUUUUUUUAGAUACUUAUUGGAUAUUAAUAAUAAUAAAAAAGUACGUGUUACCAACAAGGGUUGUGAUGGAGGACUAAGUACUCCUUCAUCCUUAAUCUAGAGAUCUCAGGUUCAAGUUUUCUUGUCUUUGUUAGGGAGACCUUUACCUCCCAAUGUGGGACUUCCUCCCAAUGUGAAUGUAAAUAUCGGACACUGGAUGAGAAAGCAAAAAAAAUAAUUAUAGUAUGUGUUGGUUAUUCUAAAAAAUAUGAUUAACUUCUUUUCUCCUUUACAAGAAAGAUUCAUAGUUACUUAUUUUGGAUGAGUUCUCACUCUUAAUAGUUUAUGUAGCUCUGAGGCAUGUUUUAUAUGUCAUGAAUUUUACUUUUUCUAGCCAACUAUUCUCAAUUGAAGAUUGAUUAAGGUAAAGUAGAAUUAGAUUGUCUUAAAACUCUUAACAAUACUGGAAACACAUUUAUUUGAGUGCUCGAUAUAGUAUGUGAUUUUUUUUAUUUCAAGGGUAUUUGUGGCCGACACCUUAUUGUAAGUUUGAGUUUUAAUCUAUGAAACCAAAAUAUAAUUCUGUUUGGUUGUGGUACUUUCUUUACAUACAAAGAUUGUCUUGGAGAUAAGAUCGUAGUAUCAUCAAUAUAUUGCUUCCAUGGUUGAAUUAUUUCUUUUUAUGUGAAAUAUAUUAUGUUGAGAUAAUGUACAUAAAUCUAUGCUUGAUCAGCUUUUGUAAUGGAAAAGGAAUAAGCAAAUUAGAAUUUUUAGCUUUUUUCAAUGAGGCUUCGAUUGUGUAGCUUCACUUGAGUUUCGUGUUAUCUUUUACAGAAGAUAUAAAUAUUAUUCAAGAUUAAAUUUAUGUGCUAUUUUAAAGCCUUUCAGGUAUAAGAAUGACCAAGAUGUCCUGAAAAAAUUAGGUGAAGCAAUAUGUUGAAGUUUUUGGCCUUCUUAAGAUGUGAAGGUGAUUUUGAAGUGUACACAUUUUUAUUCUCAUAUAAAACACUUCCUCUUCUUUGACACUUUUCAUCUACCUUGUAAUCAUAUCAUUGGAGGUUCAAUGAAGUUUUUUUUUUUAGUUUGUCUUUUUAUUAUGCCUAUGUAUGUGUUUCUAUUUCAAAAUAUUGUAUCAACCACUGCAGUAGAUAAAUUGACUUUAUUUUAUUUUCUCUUCUUA